UGUCCUAAUAAAUUACCAUCUCUGUCACUUAAAGGCUUUUUGAACAAGAUUAAUUUUUAUGUAGGCUUAUUUUAUUUAACUGCAUAUGAUGUAUAGGCUACUGUGAUCUUAGUCUGACAUGUUACUCUUUUCAUGUAUUAUUUUCUUUGAUAAUAUUGAGAAUUUAAUGGGUUGUGUGUUCUUAUAGAUACUGAUGGACGGAUUGUAUUAUUGGACCCUCCAGAAAGAACACAGUCUGUCACAGUUGAUGAAGAUGAUGAAGAUGACGAUGAAGAGACCACAUCUGCUGUGACAGAAGUGGACAAUGCUGGUAGAUCCACUGAGUACAUACCUAGGGAUUUGCCCACACAUGAGGGUCCUUCAACCUCAGCACACAAUCUAAGCAGGUUGCCAGCAAAGGAGCUGUAUAAGGUCCAUCUUCAAAAACAAAUAAGAAAAAGUGACAUGGAGAUGGACCUUAUACAGCUUCAAAUGGAAGAGAAAAGGCUCCUCAUUAAAAAAGUAGCACUUGAAAUUGAAUUACUGGAGCAUCGCCUUAAGGUGAGAACUUGUCUGAAUAUUAAUCUGU